AGGUUACAAGUGUUAAGGUAGCACAAUGGUCUCCAAAACCAUUAGUCAAGGUUCGAAUCCUUGGUAGCCUG
rnacentral:tRNA from 2 species